UACCUUUCUGAACCUGGUGAACGCUGUUUGUGCACACGUGUCACUUCUAAUUUUCCUUUUUUUCCCGCAUUCUCUGCUUCGCGUAGCAAACAACGUACACUCCUUGGUUGAUCUCCAAGCCUUUCCUUCUCUUUCUCCAUGACUUGUGCUCCACACUCUAAAAGAAUUCAAGUAGAAAACAUCAAUAACCAUUAUCAUACACAGCGUUAGCGUCUUCAAAAUCCGAUGGACCGCUGUUGCAGUUUCACACAACUUUUCCUCACCUCUCACUUUCUUAUGUGCUGGUGUAGCCAGGGCGUGGCACUUUGGGCACUAGGGCAUACUUGAAUUUCUUUCUCUGUGAGUAGGGGCAUGUGCCCCUAUCCCAAAAUUUCUGUUAGCAUGUGGCCUGCCCAGACCUACUCACCCUCCCCAGUGAAGUGCGUUCCACUUCCCCAAGAAAAAAAAAAAUGCAGCAGAUCCAACGAGUUAGAAUCUAUAAGCUUUAUGUGAGUGCAUAAUGAGUCGAAACACGAGUUUGUGUUUAUUGAAUGUCUGCACAAAGUGACACGGAAGACUUCAUUCAUGCAUCGUAAAGAGGCGUUAUAGGUGUACUCGCCCUUGAUCAUCUGCGUCAUGCUCCCUGCUGUCUUUUGCGCUCCCUGGGCGACCAUGAUAGAGCGUGCGCCCUUGCGCGGCGUGGCUGACGGAGGGACAUUCUGCGCAGCAACCCCCAACGCCCCCCUUUUCCGCUCUGCUGACUCAAGUCAACUUGACCCUCAGCGCAGACUGGAGGGCCCUAUCGUCAGCAACCACACUCAACGUGCCAACUAUAAAUGAGCAGCGACCGUCCACCGCACCCUGUGGGCUCGGUGGCUGUGCCACAACACAGUUGUCUAAUCCACUCGUCUUCGCCAUGCAGGUGAACAGAGCUGGAAAAAUAUUACUAACUUACAUACUUCACGAAUGUUAGCAGCAGACUGGCUUGCAAGUAUCUCCCAGACAAAAGUUGCGAAGAAAGAACACUUGGCCACCACGGGUGAUGUUUUCUGAACUGGACAAGGACAAGCAUAUCUUUGGACAGUAUUUGUUGCCAGACUUGCAAAGCAUUCUAGGCUAAAUAUGUGGUGUUAGAACAUAAGAAUCCGGAUAUAAGAAAUAGCUCGACAUAUUCUGUGUGCGUUGCAGAUUUGGCACUGCCAACAGCAAUCCAUGAGUUGCAGUUGCAUGAUGCACCACUUGGCAUGGCAGAUGCAGAUUUGUUCCACCAUGUCGGUGCAUUGUGUAAGCAAUGUGCCACAAUGUUUCUGAAGCCACAGUUGUACUGUUUUUUGAAUACCUAGAACAAAAAAUUUUUGAUGAUGUUGCGUUACCACAAGGGGGAAAAAAAAACGAUAACUGAUUAAGACACAAAAGCCAUUCGGGUAAAAAACUUUCAUGUCCCAGUGCGCAAGUAAUGUGGCUGCAAUGUUUAGCGCAGCUGUUUCUGUACAUGUUUCACAAGAGUGCAUUAGAGUGCACUGCAUCAAAAAAAUACAUUUCUUUCCAAAACAUCAACACAAAUUUACCAAAAUAUACUUCGUUAUGCCUGCUUCUUAUACUUAGCUUCUAUGUAUCGCUUAUCAUUUAAAUCAUUAUUCAAGAGGAUUACUUUGGCACAUUUAUUGUUAUGCGACUCAUAGUUAGGAAUGCUUUUGCUUUUACUAAUACAAGACAAUGUAUAAAAUAACCUUGGAAGCACUAAUUAAAUUAUCAGCAUCAGAUCCUAUAUGAUGCAUGUGCCCUGCUUAUAUUGCUCCUUUUAUUUCUUUGACAUUGUCUGGUACCAGCAGCAGUGUCUAAAGGAAUGCCAAAAGCAAUUCCAUAAGGCAGUCCGACUCAAUAAAAAUUGGACAGCCACUUUUCAAGAAACCCAUACAGGGUUCACAUAAUAAGUGCCAAGCAACAACACAUUAUGAACAAAAUUUGCCACUGAACACUGAGUGAUCACCACUAAACUAUGACUGUGUUCCAAUACUCGCCGUAGAUGACAAAGUACUAUUUGGCUAAGCGGACAGCAGCUGUCUUAAGGCUCAUUCCAGUCUUGAUGAAGACGUCAAAGACAGCUUUGCAAAAACAGCGUUGAAGUCAGAAACGAUGUAGGCUACUUUCCUGUCCAAACAAGAUGGUGGCUAGUGGCAGCUGAGCAGGAAGCUUGGAAACUCGAUGGGAAGGUUGUCUGUGCAUAAGGAAAUGCCAUGCUUUCCUGUGUGCUUAAUGGAUGUUACAUUGUGUUCUUCAUAGGUUCACAGGUGCAAAGAGUUAAAAUACAGAAAUAAUGUGUACCUUUCUUAGCUUUUUUUUCUGCUGCUCGAUGGUGGGACAUCGAAGAGGUGCCUUCCUAUUGUCUUCCAGGCAGUUCCAGAUGCUUUCCCUUACUUAGGCUUGAAGCCGUUUUAGCUGUCUACGUAGACAGUCUCUGAUGCUCACCAGAAUUGGAAUACACCCUAUGGCACUACCUAUGCAUAGCAGACAAGGCUGUAGUCUUGAUCAAUCACACUUAGUGCGUGCUGCUGGGCUAUGCACAAGUGGACAUGAAACUUAUGGAUGGAUGCAUGUCCUGUGAGCUGCAUAUUCAUGCCAUGUGACGAUCAAAUGCAAUGAUUCUGUCGAACCACACUAGUAACAGUUGCAAUCAGCACAAAAAUACCUGCAUUAUACUCAAUACUCAUUAUAUGUUGCGAUCGACAAGAAACAUUAUAGAUCUACUUUGUUACAUCUGAUCAUCUGCUAUAUCUGUGUUCAUUAAGCCCAAUAAUUUGUUAUACCUGUGUUAAUUACAUAUGAUAACUCAUUAGAUGCAAUAAUUAGUUAUAUCCACGUUCGUUAUUGAGAUUCAACUCUAUUGCAGACAACAGAGGCCUCAUGAUAUCAGCAAGUGCUAGUCACUACAAUGAGGUAUCACACUGGGU